CAAAGAUCCAGACUCUGUUCCCAAAGGCCCAGACUCUGAAGGUCCAGAUUCUGUUCCCAAAUGUCCAGACUCUGAAGGUCCAGACUCUGUUCCCAAAGGUCCAGACUCUGUUCCCAAAGGCCCAGACUCUGUUCCCAAAGGUCCAGACUCUGUUCCCAAAGGCCCAGACUCUGAAGGUCCAGACUCUGUUCCCAAAUGUCCAGACUCUGUUCCCAAAGGCCCAGACUCUGAAGGUCCAGACUCUGUUCCCAAAGGUCCAGACUCUGUUCCCAAAGGUCCAGACUCUGUUCCCAAAGGCCCAGACUCUGAAGGUCCAGACUC